GACAUACCAAAAGGGAGGUCACAUCUGAUCCCUCUGAAGAUGAUGCUUUCCGCCGAUGAAUCAUAGAAGAAGCCAUUCAAGAGGCAUGUUAGCCUUUGGCAAGGACGUCCACUUCGGAUGGCGAGGUGCUAAACACUUCCAUAAGGGAGGUCACCUCUGAUUUUUUUGAAGAUGAGCUCUUCAAGGACGAACCCUAGAAAAAUCCCUCUCAGCACAUUCACCUCUGACAAGGACAUGGUUCCUCAAAUUCUAGGAAGAAAACCAAUAUUUUUUAUUUACAAAGCUUUAGUCUAGCCACCGAUGUCACGAUUAAUUGUCAAAUUGGAGGCAGUUCGUUAAUUCAAUGAGGUUUCAUUGGUCUUGCAAAGUUUGGAAAGCAUGGAGGCAAUAAGGCUUUAGAUGAAUAUUCAUAUUAAAGAAUAAGCACCGACACUUGUAAGAAAAAUAAUUUUUUCAUUCAUAAAAUAAUUUACAUAGGGUAAGGUCAAAGCCAUUACACUUGAAAGAGACUAAGGGUUAACUGUUACAAUAUCCCCUUCUCCCACUACUUUCUUCUCGUUUUCUCUAAUGUUUGGAGCCUUUUUCCGCACCACUUCCUCUUAGUUCACUCCGACAUUUGGAGCCUUUUCUUGAGCUUUAUCAACAACUUGUAGGUUAGGUUUGCCUUCAGUAGGUCCCUCCAAACUCCUCUUCAAGGAAAAUUAAAUCCAUGUCAGGGUGGACCUUCCUCAGGCACUCAAACAUCGAUUGAGCAUUCUAUGAAGCCUAGAAAUUAGCAAAGGAGUCACAUAGCUCGUUAUUUUUUAGAAGAUAUCGAUGUAAUUCUGGACUUCAGCUUAUUUUUCUCUUUCCUGGAUAACUCCAAAGCUUGGACUGCUAAACGGUGAUUUUCGUUUGUAUACUUGACCCUCCUCAUCAAAGCAGCCACUUAGACAAGGUAUAUUCAAUUGAGACUUUUAAUGAUUUUUGGGAUUUAAAAAGUUUAGAGGUAUUCAAUUGAGACUUUUUGAGAUUUUAUAAAAGUAUUGAUGUAAUAAAUUGCGACUUUUAUGGACUUUUAAGAAGUCUCUAAAAGUCACAUUGUAUUCAAUUGAGACUUUUAUAUACUUCUAAAAAAUCUCUAAAAGUUACCGUAUUCAAUUAAAACUUUUCGAAGUCUCUAUAAGUUUUUGGGUAUUCAAAUUUUAAUGAUUUCUAUAGGCUUUUAUAAAACUCUCUGGAGUACUAACAUUUAAACAGAAAGUACUCAUAUAAAAUCUUAAAAUUCGCCUCAUUAACCACGAGAUUUUGGGAGACUUUCACGAAAAAAAGGUAUAUUUUUUUUUUCAAUCUUUCUUUCAUUUUUCCUUCAACGAACAAGUAUGAUUAAAAUUUAUAUAUAGAUUAUAUAUAU
rnacentral:lncRNA from 1 species